AUUGAACGCUAGCGGGAUGCUUUACACAUGCAAGUCGAACGAGUGGCGGACGGGUGAGUAAUAUAUCGGAACGUGCCCAGUAGCGGGGGAUAACUAGUCGAAAGAGGGGCUAAUACCGCAAAAUAUUGGAGCGGCCGAUAAGGGAUUAGAUAGUUGGUGGGGUAAAGGCUCACCAAGGCAACGAUCUGUAGCUGGUUGGAGAGGACGACCAGCCACACUGGGACGGAGACACGGCCCAGACUCCUACGGGAGGCAGCAGUGGGGAAUAUUGGACAAUGGGGGAAACCCUGAUCCAGCCAUCCCGCGUGUAUGAGAAGGCCUUCGGGUUGUAAAGUACUUUUGGUAGAGAAGCGGUAUCUGCAGAAUAAGCACCGGCUAACUACGUGCCAGCAGCCGCGGUAAUAC
rnacentral:rRNA from 1 species